UGCAAUCUCAAAAUAAUGAAUGUAACAAAUCAUUCAUUCUCAUUAAUUAAUUGGUAAAAAUGAAUACUACUAGUAGUAAGUAAAGUUUUAAAUUUAGGAUAGCGGCCUCAAUUUAAAUCCUUGAUAAUAGUUACCAUUGAGUACAAUGAGGAUGUAGUCAACAUCAAAGUGUUUAGGGAGAAUGAGUGUAUUAGGUUUUGGUUGGAACUCUACAAUGCGAUAGCCUCUAUUCAAAGAGAAGAACUAAGUCUAGAUCUUAUGCUGAUUCAAGAUUUAAGUUUUGGAGAUUCUCAAGUCUAUUGGUUCUCUGGUCAAACCUCUCAAGCACACGAAUUUGACCUUUCCUAUUUCUAUAAAGAGUUCGAAAUCUUUCAAAGUUGAAGUAAUAAGGGUUCCUCUGUCUGUGUGAGUCUGGGUGAGUCUGGGUGAGAACCUUGCUCUUCCUCUUGCUCUUGCUCUCUCUCUUCCCUAUGUUCCCUCAUCUCAUAACCACUUUGCCUAUGUGAGCUUGAGCUAGAGCCUUAAUCUUGCUCUCUCUCUUCCCUUCUACUUUGAGGUCGUUGUCUCAUGGGUUGCCACUCUUCUUCCUCCUCUCUUCUUCAAUGUUGAGGUUGUUGUUCUUGCUCCCUCUCCCUACGAGGUUCUCUCAUUUGUUUACGCUCUUCCUCUCGGCUUUAUUCGCUCUCGCUCCUACCACGUGAAGGCUCACGAUCACGCUCCUCCUCACUCGUAUGCUCUCUUUCUUGCUCCUCCUGAUGGUGAGGGUGUGGCUGUUGUCUUGGGUCACGUCCCUCUUGUUCUCUUUCCUGAGGCCUCUCAUGAUUCUUUAUCACAUUUUUUUCUCUAUAAGCAAUACUAAUUGACACUGCGAUGAGGAAUACUAUUCCUAGUAGCAACACCAAUGUUGGAAACCUCACUCUGAUCUUAGCCAUAUUUGAUUAUAUUAGAUUGCACUCAAUGAUGAAAAUGGGGACUAAGAUCACUCAUAUUUAUAGAUCAUUUUCAUAAGAAAUGGUGCCAUGCAUGUUGACGAGUGUUCAUAUUGACAAAUUUGAGGUGUCAUGUGCAUGCCAAUUAUCUACAUAGCUCUUUAUGGAUAUACAUGGAUGCGGCAAUCAUGCAUAUAUGCUUAUUGCUUCCUCAUACAUGAAUCAUUGUUUUCUUUCUUCAAUAUCAUGAACUUGGACUUUAUUUUGGAAACGGUACAGUGUACUCUCUCUCUCAAUUCAUAUUUGUCUUUUCUUGGCUCACCGUGUUUGGUUUGUUCGCUAUAAAAUUAUUACGCUAGAAAAAUACUAGAAUGAAUAGAGUUUAAAACAAUAACAUACAUAUAUCAGUCCAAAUUUAAGAACAAAUAGCAGGGUGAGGGAAAAAUUCACUAUAAUCAAGUACAUAUGUUUUCGAAAAAACGGGAUUGCUUUUAAAACAUGUGAUAUAUAUAAUCCAACUCUUAACUCUAUGGCCACGUUUAUAUAAUGUUUGGUUAUCAUCUAAAGCCAGGCAAUAAUAACAAUAACACAGUAAUGGUACGAUUUUUACAUUAUGGUUUGUUAAUGAGAUGGGGAAUAAGUAUUUUAACAAUAAAAAAUCAUAAUUAUAAAAGGUAAAUAAUUAAGUUUAUUUCCUAAUAUUUGGUGUAUAUUUCUAUAAUUAAAUUAAAUUCGUUUUAGUACUAACUCAAGUGAAGAAAAAAAUUAGUAAGAGAAAACUUGUAAUUAUUUAUACAUGUUAGGGUUACAAUUUGUUCACCAAGUAAUAAUCAUUAAAGAUAUAAUGUUGUAUUUGUGGAUGAUGGUUGUUAAAGUCUAGGUUAUUUUUUAGAAGAUUUUUUAUUGCCUAAACAUUGGGCUAUAAUCAUUUUGAGGCUGAAAUAGACAAAUGGAAAGUCAUAUUAUUAUAUGAGAUGAGCAAGUUUUAUUUUCCAUGUUUUUUUAAAUUAUCAUAUGAAAGAUUAUAAAAAAUAUUGAUACCUUUUGUACAUUUUAUAUUGACAAUGCUUUUUUAUUUGGGCUAUUCUAGAUACAAGGUGUUGGUUCUGUGAAUAUCUUACUCUGAUUUGGGCUAUUCUAGAUACAAGGUGUUGGUUCUGUGAAUAUCUUACUCUGAUUUGGGCUAUUCUAGAUACAAGGUGUUGGUUCUGUGAAUAUCUUAAUAUUUUUUACCAUUGUGAUCUAGUGUUAAUAUUUUAUAAAUUUUCAAUUUUAUUUAAUAAAUGCAUAAACACAAUUGCUUAAUAUAUAUGAUAAUGAAUUAAAAAAUCAAAUAAAAUCAAAUAAAACAUUUAGAUGAUAAUAUGGGAUAUUAACUAUGAUACUUAUAAACAAGAAACUAAAAAAGCUCAAGGACUUAUGAUCUGAGUUGUUGUCUUGGAUUCAUUUUGAGAAUUAAAAUAAUUUAGUUGAGAAGUGUGUGAAACUCUUAUUUUUUUAAGAUGGUCGAGUCAUGUGUGAAAGUGAUGAAGGUCGCGGUGGUUCUAUAGUUGAUAUAUGAGAUGAAUCAAAUUGCAUUAAGGAUAAGUCUAAAUAUAAAUAGCAUAAAGAUGCACGCCUAAAGAAUAUGAUAUAAUUGUUUCAGGAAAAAUAUGAAACCCAAGUGGGAGAUUGUUAGAAAUUCAUAAUUUCUAAUUAAGGUGAGAAUCAUAUAUUUAAUACAAAUAUAUUAGCUAUUUAUUUUGGGGUUACAAAAUAAGUGAUCUAAUUACUUACAACCUAUAAGAUUUCUGAAACUGAUAAUGGGUAUGGAGUUAAUGAGUAGAUACCCAAACGGUUGGCCUAUAGGCGAUAAUGGGAACCCUAUAUGUUAAUGCAUAAGGAACGAUUAUAAUCCCCAAUAAACAAAAUCACAAAUAGUUUUCACCUCUCCUCGUCAGAGAGAAAAUGAAGGUCCCAAAAGGAAUUAAGGAUUUGGUUCAGGAAGGUCAUAAUACCAAAACUCUCUCAAAAGAUAUAUCAAAAGAGUAGAUAAAUGAACAUGGAUUCAAGUAUGACUUUGUAUCCUUCUUUUAUAUUAUGUCUGAGAAUCAUGAGAUUUAAGAUCCUAUGAUUGGCAUUUCACCAAUCAUUGGGAAAUAUCUAACAGAUAUGCUUUUAUCAAAAAAUUAUUAUUUUAGUAUAGUCAACAUUUUUCUACUCUGAUGCGUAUCUUAGACAAAUCAAUUAUCAACAAGGUCAUUUACAACUUGUAUCGUGGCAUGGCUAAAAGUUUCCAAGAAAAUGGUAUAUGGCUAAAAAAUAAGUGGAUUUUAUGGGUUGUUAUAAGAAUUGUGUAAGAUUUAGGAGGAAAUUUUUUAUAUGAAUGAGUCCUUUUGCAUCAUUGAUGUUGCACUUUUAUUUUGCCCUAUCUUUUUCUUGAGAUAUUAAUUGAGUGUUCUUAGCGGUUUUUUCUGUAUAAUUUUUGCUGUUGUUUUUUUCCCUUUAAGCUAGGAACGCUUCUUGCAUUCUUUUAUCCUUCAGUUAUAUGAGUGUUAAGAAAGAAUGAGUUAUGUCCUUCAAUAAUCGAAUGUCAAGAAAAACAGUUGAAAACUUAUUCUCCCUAGACUAUUGACAUAUUUUGGGUUAUUCAAAAUAAUCUGCUUCCAUAAUGUCUAGGCUCAAAAAGGGUGACUAAGAAUAUAUUCUUAGUAUUUGGGAAUUACAAAGAAGUCAUGUGUCAUCAGAAAAAACUUAUAUUUGCAUCAUUCUCCAUUUUAUUUUUUUAAAUCAAAUAUACCAAAUUAGUGCAUGAAUUAAAUUUAUUUGGAUUAUUUUUGUUAUAUCUCAUCAGAAAAACUUAUAUUUGCAUCAUUCUCCAUUUUAUUUUUUAAAUCAAAUAUACCAAAUUAGUGCAUGAAUUAAAUUUAUUUGGAUUAUUUUUGUUAUAUUUUUGGAUAAAUAUAUUUAGUGGGGUGUAGUGUAGGAUGUAAAUUUUCAUUAUUGAUGUGUUAAUAUGUACUUAUUAAAAAUAUAAAUUUAAAAAUAAAUCUUUAUUCGUGAAAAUCGGAAACAUAAGUGAGUGUAGGAUUAGUUUGCAUUAAGUAGGAUAUUCAAAUGAGGAGAAGUUUUCAAGAUGAUCAUUGGUUGAGCUGAGAUAAGAGACAAUGUAUCAUCCUACGUGAAGGGCUUAGCCCAUAUGAUCUUGAUCACAAAGAAUGGAUUCAUAUAACUAGGAUCCUCUUUGUCUUCUUAGAAUACUUCAGUUUCAACCAUGAUUGCUUCCAAUCGAGUUCAUCAUUAGUAUUCAUAAUACCAAUGCAUGUUACACAUAAAAGUAAGCUUCUAAACUUAGCUACUUGUUACUAUUAAAAUAUAUUACAUAUAGUUAUUAUAAUAUAUUAUAUAUAGUUUUUAAGAUACUAAUUAUAAUAUAUAGUUAUUAUAACUUAGCUAGCUUGUUACUAUUAAAAUAAUAAGAAAAGAAAUAGAUGACAAAUAACAAUUGAAAAUGAAAUUCAUGUUAUAAUGUGCAAAUUGAUGAUUGGUAGUCCCAUAUAACAACAAUAAAAUUUUAGAAAUACACAUAUUAUGUAUGAGGACUUAUGACUAUGCUUGAAUAGGAAUUCUACGAUAUAUGAUGAACAGAGGAAGAGAGUAACUGCACAAAUUUCGAGCAAUUCUAUUACCAUUCUUUCGUGUUUCUCUCUAGAACUUUUGCGUGUCUCUCUCUUUUAUGAUUUUUUCUCGUGUGUUUUCUGGUUUUUCUUUUCUAGUAUUCUUUGUCAUGUUCUCUAGACCUCUAUUUAUAGGAGGUAUUUGACACAAGUUGAAAACAAGAGGGAAUCACUCUCAUUAAUACAUCUAGUUAAUUAAAAUGUUUUAUUUUUAUUUAAAAAUAAAUCUUUGAUUGAUUGGUUUUAUUUAAAAUUCGACUAUUGGGUGUAAGAUUAUUUCCAAAAUAACUAGAAAUGUCUCUUAAUAGUUUUUCAAAUCAUAAAAUAUUAUUGUGAUAUUCAUGUUAAUUCGACUUUACAAUUAAAAGUAUCGGUAAUGCUAAUGUUAGUAGUUUCAUGGAACUUUUCCACCAUAAUUCUGUUGACUAGGUUAAUAGUCAUAAAUAUCAAUGUCUCUAAUACUAAUUGUUGGUACGAGAAAAACAACUUUUUUAAAACUUUGACAAUAUUAAUGGACAUAAAAAUAAAUAGAAAAUAAGAAGAUAAGAAAGAAAUGUCAACUUAUUGAAAGUUAAGGUGCAUACCUCAACAGUCAUACUAGUUAUGCAUGCUUGAUUAGUGGUGUGAAAUAUGAAUUUGUUAUGUCACCAUCAGGGGGCCAUAAGAUGUUAAAAAAGAAAGAUGUGAGAAAGAUUACAUCGCAAUAGAAGAUUAACACUGCAAUAGUGCAUCAUGCACUUAGUUUUGAUGAAGACGACAACUUGAAUAAGACAAAGGUAAAGAGAAAGCUUACAGAUCAAUCUAACCAAAGCAUCAUGUCAAAGACUCAAGAUUUUAAAUAGAGUUAGUAUUUUCAUGUUUUAGAAGUCCUAAGAUGAUUGUUUAGUUUUUGAGUCUAGGUUAGAUGAACCUAAGAUGGAGGUCUCACAAGAAUUAAAUUGUUAAAAUCAAUUUUUGAGACAUUUCAUUCAUUCAUACUUAUAUGAUAUGUUGAUGUAUUGCAUAUACAUAAUUUCAUGCAUUAAAGCUGUAUAUUUUUAAAUCAUACAUUGCAUAUACAUUUAUCAUAUAGAAGAUUCACAUUUCAUAUCAAGGAAAUGAUUUUUCAACUCAUAUAAUCGAUUACAUUAUAUUGUCAAUCCAUUAUAUGUUCUGUGAUUUCUAAUAAUCAAUUAUGUUAAGUGAAAAUCGAUCAGUAGCUAAAUAAAUCUCGCUUAGGGCUCAAAUAAUCGAUUAUUCCACCAGACGUGAUAUUUUUAGCUUCCUGAUAAUCGAUAACAAAUAUUUAUAAUCGAUUAGAUCAUUAGAAAAACAGUUUUAUAUAAAAACCGUUUUUAGUCUCUUUGGUUCACAUUUUAGAGUUUCAAAACAUUCAUAUUUUCUAGAAACCUUUGAGAUAAAUAUUGAGUUUAGAAUUGUUAAUUCUUUGUGAUUUCAAAAGAGAAAGGAGUAAAAUUUUAAUAUCUUUAGAAAAGUGUAUUUUUGUGAAAAAUCUUGCAUUGAUCAUAUUAGGAAAAGAAAGGUUCUUUGGAGUGAUGAUGAGAAAAGAAAGGUUCAACACAAUUUAAAAGGAAAAAUAUUAUCCCUUCUGCAUUGUCCUGAUGAGUUUUUUAGGGUUCCCCAAUGUCAUAGUGUCAAGGAAAUGUGAGACACUUUACAAGUCACCCAUGAAGGCACAAGCAAAGUAAAACUCGCACGACUAAAUGUGUUAACACAUGAACAUGAGAUGUUUAGAAUGUUUCCAAAUGAAUCUAUUAGCGAUAUGAAAAAGCGCUUUACUCAUAUCAUAAACCAUUUAGUUGAAUUAGAUAAAUCAUUUGCUAAAGGUGAACUAACAAAUAAAGUAUUGAGACGUCUUGACAAGAUUUGGCAGCCAAAGGUGACCGCCAUCAUGGAGUCCAAGGAUAUUGGUUCUAUGCCUUUAGAAACACUAUUUGGAAAGCUAUAGGAACAUGCAAUGGAGCUAUGGUGUUAAACUUUGCACGAGGAAUCAGAUAAGUGCAAGAAAGGAAUCUCUCUAAAAAGCUUCAACAUAAAAAAUUCAAGAGGAGAGUUACGAUGAAGAGGUUUCAAAGAAAAAAGGAAAAUACCCAGCUCGUAGAAGCAAACCUCCCAAAGAAUGUUCUACUUCCUAUGAGUGUAGAAAAGUUGGACAUAUGAAGUUUCAAUACCCAACCUACUUGAAAAAGAUUGAGGGUAAGAAGAACACCUCGAGGGACUUCAAGUAAAAGAAAGCAUAUAUCGUAUGGGAUGUUCCCGAGUAAGAAUCAACUUCAAGCACAUCAGAUGAAGAGGAGACAACAAAAUUAUGACUUAUGAUUCACACAUCAGAUUCCACACAAAUAUUGGAUCAAGGAGAAUCUAGUGAGGUAGAAUAUCUUCACUCUAGUUCAUGCUCUAAUAGUUAUGAAAACAUACCUGAUUAUGAUGAACUAUAUGCUACUUUGAUCAAAUUUGAUGAGGAAUUUAAGAAACUUGCUAGGAUAAAUGUAGGUUGAAAGAGGAUAAUAUUUUUGCAUGGAAAGAAAAUAAGUGAAAUACAAACUAUUAUUGAUGAACUUAAACUUUAAAAUGAAACCAUUGAUCUCAUAUAUGCAUGUGGCUCAUGCAAUUGUUCUUCCAAAGUAAAUGAAACUUCUAGUUGUGAAAAUUGCGAGAAUUUAGAAUAUGAAAAUUCUAUUUUGAAAGAAAAACUCGCAAAGUUCACAUAUAGUCGUCAAAAUCAUGACAAUUUACUUGUAAAUACUAGAAAUGUUGGUAAUCAUGCUGGAAUUGGAUUUACUCAUGAUAAAAAGAAGAAACCACAUAGAAAAUAUGUUGCAAAAACUAGAUAUGUGCAUAAACAUAAAAUGCAUACGUGUUUUUAUUGUGGUGUUCAUGGACAUACUUCUAUUUCAUGUCCUAUUCGUAAGUAUGGAAUACCGAGUGGUGAAUAUGUUUGGAUUAAAAAGGGACAAGUUUCCAUGAUUACUUACCCUAAGGGACCCUACAAAAAUUGGUUAUCUAAAAGAACAAGUAAAUAUGUUUUGUAGGUAUGCCUUCAGACACUUGGACAACAUUGGUACUUAGAUAGUAGAUGUUCGAGGCAUAUGACGGGAGAUAGAUCUAAAUUCCUAGAUCUAUCAUUGAAAGAAAAAGGCUAUAUGACCUAUGGAGUCAACAAUCGCAGGAAGAUACUUGGAAUUGGGAAAGUUGGAAUUACCUCUCAGGAUAUCAUUGAAAAUGUCCUCUACAUUGAAGGGCUUGAGCACAACUUGCUGAGUACCAGCCAACUAUGUGAUAUAGGUAACAAGGUAUUUUUUGAUUCAGAUUGUUGUGCCAUUCGUGAUCGCAUAGAUAAUAAAUUUAAGUUUAUAGGUCAUCGAGUAAACAAUAUCUAUAUGAUUAAUCUGAAUGAUAUCUCUUUUAUAUUUUCAAAUUGUUUUAUUUCUAAGAUAAUGAUAUCUGGAUAUAGAAUAGGAGAGUCGCUCACAUUCAUUUAAACCAUUUAGAAAAAUUAUCGUCAAAGGAACUUGAUGUAGGGCUACCUAAAUUAAAUUUUAAAACGAAUGAUAUAUGUGACACCUAUCGGAGGUGUAAGCAAAUUAAAAAUUCAUUUUCGUCAAAACCUGUGAUAUCCACAACAAGGCCAUUGGAGCUUCUUCAUAUGGACUUGUUUGGACCAUCACAAGUCAUGAGUUUUGGAGGUAGUUACGAUGCACUAGUUAUUGUUGAUGAUUUUUCUAGAUUCACUUGGACUUUUCUGCUUGCUUUAAAAAGCGACACAUAUAACUCUUUCAAAAACCUUGCCCAAAAAUUUAAAACCAGUUUAAUAUGAAAUAGUGUUUAUUCGUAGCGGUCAUGGUGGUGAGUUUGAGAACCACCAAUUUAAUAAGUUUAGCGAGAAAAACAGUAUCUUACACCAAUUCUCAACUCCUCGUACCCCUCAACAAAAUGGAGUUGUUGAAAGGAAGAAUCGAGUCUUGGAAGAGUUAGAAAGGACCAUGCUUAAUGAAAGCAAAAUUCCGAAAUACUUUUUGGCUCAUGUGGUUCACAUUGCAUGUUAUGUGAUUAACCGAAUAUUGGUUAGGCAUGCAGUUUUUAAAACACCUUAUGAACUUUUAAAAGGUCGUAAACCAAACAUAUCUCAUCUUUGUGCUUUUGGAUGUAAAUGUUUUAUAUUGAAUAGUGGAAAAGAAAUUUAGGUAAAUUUGAUUCAAAAGCAUAUGAAAGAAUAUUCUUCAGUUAUUCAUUACAUAGUAAAGUCUAUCAAGUCUAUAAUAAGCAUACAAUGAAUGUAGAAGAGUCUAUACAUGUUUAUUUUGAUGACUCUUCUCCAAUAGAGAAGAUAAUGGUUGUUUCCGAUGAUGUUUCAGGUGCUCUAGAAGAUGUAUAUACAAAGGAUAUCAUAUUGGCUAAUCACUGUAUGUUGAAAUGUAUCAUAAAACGGUUAAAUAUGGUGCUUAAAAAAUGCUAUACAAAUUGUAUAUUGUGUAAAACAAUUAGGAAUGGUAAUGAAAACCAAACCCGUGGGUACCCGCCCGAACCAAACCCAAAAUUAAUGGGGAAAACCCGAUGGGAUUGGGUUCGGGUCGGGUUUUACUCGGGUUAAAUUUUCGGGGUCGGAUUUGGUAGAGGAAAGACCUUAACCCGAACCCACCCCGAAGUAAUGUAAUUCAAUUUAAAAUUGAAAUUUCUAUCUUGUGUCCAUUGUUUUUAAUUUCUAAUUUUAAUUUACAGACUAUUGGAUCUUCAAACAUAAAUGAAAUAAAAUAAUACAAGAGAAAAAAGAAGUGCUAGAGAAAAAUGAAAUGAAAAUGAUAUCAUACUUUCAUUAGUACAUAUAUAAUUUUCGGGUUUUUCUUGGGUUCGGGUUACCCAAAACCCAACGGGUUCGGGGAUGGUAUCUUUAUUUUCAACCCCGUUGAGUUUGGGUUCGGGUUUUGAAUUUCGGGUUUGGGUAUGUGCAAACCCAGCCUCGACCCACCCCAUUUCCAUUCCUAAAGAUAAUGACCAAUAUUAUUUAUCUGAUAUGAUAAUCGAUUAUCAUGUUGCGAUAAUCAAUUAUCCUGAAUAGAUUUUGUGCACUUGUCCAAUUCUUGAAAACUGCUUGAUCUUAUUUAAUAAUUUUGUUUGAUUAAGUGAGUUAUUAUCAAUUGUUAUAUAUUUGCUACUUUUGGCUAAGUUAAUUGUAAUAUUUCACAGCUUUUGAUCAUGCCGAAAGGGGGAGAAAGCGUUGGUUUAUUUAUUUUGUAGGGUGAGUUUCAUAUGCUUCCGUAAACCUAGAUGUAGAGAGAGAUGACAAAUGAUACUCAUACUAUCUCAUAUUUAGGAGAACAUAGAGUGAGGGAGAGCAUAAUCUCAUUUAGAAUCAUCACAACCAUUGCAGGGUAUCAUUCAUCAUCAAGCUUUUCAAGUAAAACAAUGUAAAGUCUAUCAAAGUAGAAAUAGCCUGCACCAAGAAAUUUUAUUCUGGUUCAUUUGCAGGUCCACUUGCAAACUACAUCCAGGCCUCCCCUUCUGAUCUCAGGAGAUUUUCUUCACUAAUAUUGAAAUGAAUGUAUAUUACAUGCACACUUCCAAUACCAGACCUUAGACGCUCCCUUCUUGAAUUCCUAGAACCCCUACCUUGGUUUGACUACUCUAAUCGCCUAAGAAAACCUUUCUUACGAUCUAGCCCCAGCCAAGAAUAUGUUCUAAACUCAAGACCUCCAAGUCUUGGUGAAGACUCACUGAAUCUCUUUGGUGGUAAGACACCAAGAGACGACUUUCCUUAUCACAAAAACAACACAAAAACAAAGUAUUAUAAAGCACAAUGUGGCUCAAAUAUUACAAUUAAAAUCCAACUAUAAACCCUAUACAAAAUCUCAGAAAUUAACAAGAAUAUGUAUGAGUUCAGAAUUAUGCAGAAACAUGUAAUUUCUACCCUACGAAAUCUCUAAAAGAAAUGCAAGAAUAAUGCAAGAAAAGAUAGAACGAUGAACACAUUUAAUCACAAGAAAUUGAAUGACAUUUUAAACCCUAAGCAUGAUACUAUCUCUCACUAUCUCACAUGCAUUUCUCUCUGCCUAUAUGACACACAAUGAGUACAAAAAAUAUGCAACUGAGCAGUUCUAAAAAUGAAUGAAUGAAUGUAUGUAUCAUGGUGUAAAAACACAGUUUAUAUAUAAAAUAUGUGUGACGCCCAGUUAAUCGAUUAAGUGCCCUUUUAAUCGAUUAACGGGUUGUUCAGAAUAACUGAAUUCUUUUUUUCAGUUAUAUGUUAAAACUGAUUUCACGUUAAUCUAUUAAUGUCUUGCUUAAUCGAUUAACUGACAUAUUUUUUAGCUACGAGAAUAAAUGGUAAACUACCUAUAUGUUAUGCUUAUCAACUAUACAUGUUUUACCAUUAUGUUAUGCCUAAGAUGCACAAAUAACAUGUAUAAUUAAUGCAUGAACAUAUAAUAAUCUAGCUGACAUGUCUCAUGUAAAUGAUAUGAUUCUAUUUAGGACUUGUGAGAUUUGCAUCUAGGUUUACCUAACCUAGACUCAAUAACUAAGACACAUAUCUAAGACUACUAAUGAUGACUCUAUUUAUGACUCUAGUCUAGACAUAAAGCUCUUGAGUCCUUGACAUGUUGAUUUGUUGAGUUAUCUUCAAGCUUUCACUAAAUCCUAGUCUUCAACAAAACAUAGGCAAUCUAAUAGUGCUAUCUUGACACUUUGCACUUUCAAUCUCCCCAAGGUAGGGGUUCUAGGAAUUGAAGAAGGGAGCAUCUAGGGUCUUGUAUUGAAAGUGUGAAUGUAAUAUACAUUUGUUUCAGUUUUAGUGAUGAUAAUCUCCCGAGAUCAGAAGGGGAGGACUGGAUGUAGUUUUGUAGUGGAUCGCAAAAUGAACCAGGAUAAAAAUCCUUAUUGCAGGAUUUUUCUAACCAUUAUCUCUUUAAUUUUCAAGUUGUUUAAUUGCCUAUUUUAGUUGAUAUUUUGAAUCCUGUAAUUCUACCAUAUAGUGAUUAAUUCUGUUCAAAUAUAUCUGUUGUAUCGUUUCUAUAAUAUCGAUGAGUGGCUGUGCAAAGAAGUCAUUCAACAACUUGUUGUUUUGUGCAAUUUAAUCGAUUAAGUCAAUGCUUUAAUCGAUUAACUGAGCAUUUUCCAGAAUAGGGCUUUGGUGCGAAAAGGCGGUAUUUGGGAACUGCAACAUCUAUUCAACCCCUCCCCCCUUCGAGGUGUGUUAUGUCCAAUCAUACCUAACAAGUGGUAUCAGAGCUAGUACGAUGUGCUAGCUCAACCACAUAUGCGUGAUCCUUAAGGGAAAACAAAUGGGUUCCACUAACCCUUUUGGCGGUGAUGACCCAUCCAUUAACCGCCCUUCCGUAUUCAGUGGCGAAGGAUAUGCCUACUGGAAAGUCCGCAUGAAAAUAUUCAUGGAAGCCAUUGACUCAGAUAUUUGGGAAUCCGUAGUCAACGGGCCUUUCGUUCCACAACAUUUAGUGGACGAUGAACCGAAAGAAAAACCGAAAAUCUAUGGACCAAUGAUGAAUGUAAAAAGGUUCAAUACAACCUACGUGCUAAAAACAUCAUCACAUCGGCCCUAUCAUAUGAUGAAUUCUUUUGCAUUUCGCAAUGUGAAAGUGCCAAAGAAAUGUGGGACACUUUACAAGUGACUCACGAAGACACUAGCGAAGUCAAGCAUGCCAGGUGGAAUGCCAUGACACAUGAGUAUGAGUUGUUUUGUAUGUUACCGAGUGAAUCUAUCGGUGACAUACAAAAAUGAUUCACUCAUAUAGUAAACCAUUUAGUUUCUCUAGAUAAAUAUUUUACCAAAGGAGAACUUACUAAUAAAGUUUUACGUUGUCUUGACAGGAGAUGGCAACCUAAAGUUACAACUAUCAUUGAAUCCAAGGAUCUUGACUCCAUGCCUUUGGCGACAUUAUUUGGAAAGCUUCAAGAGUACGAGAUGGAGCUUGGAUGCUUGAUGAUGCACAAGGAAUCAGACCGCAAAAAGAAAAGUAUAUCUCUUAAAGCAACAAUGUCUCAAUCUAUAGAAGAGAAAGAAGAUGAUGAGUCUGAUUCAGAUAUGGAUGAUGAAACGUUGAGCCUUUUCGUACGAAAAUUCGGGAACUUCCUAAAGAAAGGAGGCUUCAAACGUUUCUAUAAGAAAGAAGUGCACGAGUCAAGUAGAAAAGGCAAGGGUAAAAAAGAGCGCUUCACUUGCCACGAGUGUGGUAAGCUAGCACACAUGAGGUUUCAAUGUCCUUGUUACAUGAAGGCCUACAUUAUAGGGGACAUACCAGAGGAAGAUACAACAUCAAGCACCUCAGAUGAAGAGGAGACAACCAAGCUAUGAUUAAUGACCAAAACAAAUGAUGCUUGUGGCUCAAAUUUAAAGGAGGUAAACAACGAGAUAUAUUCUGACACCCCAUCUUCUUCAUCUGAGGAUUCACCUCCUUAUGAGGAUUUAUAUAAUGCUUAUGUCGAAUUGCAUGAUGAAUUAAAGAAAUUAUCUAUGAUUAGUUCUAAUAGAAAACAAGUAAUCCUUUUAAAUAAACAUAGAAUAGUUUCAUUACAGAAAGAAUGAGAUAAAUUAAAACUAGAGAAUGAAACAUUAGAUCGAAUAUAUUCCUCUAAUACAUGCAAUUGCUGUAAUGAAAAUUUAUGUCAAUCAACUGUCUGUGAUUCUUGCGAGACUUUAAAAAAAAUGAGAAUUUGAGACUUAAUGAAAAACUCGCAAAACUCAUAAGAGUCAAAACAUGUUAGACACAAUGCUUAGUCAGACUAGAAAUGUUGGUGACCAUACUGGACUAGGAUAUAUUCCCCUUAUGCGUAGGAGAAGACCAUAUAGGAGAUCUAUUACUCGACCUAAUAAUAAAUUUUAUAAUAAGAAGGUUCCUACAUGUUUAUAUUGUGGCACACAUGGCCAUACUUCCUACUCUUGUUACAUCAUGAAAUAUGGUAUACCUAGUGGAGUAUAUGUCUGGAUGAAAAAGGGAGACGAGUCCCUGGUUACUAACAAAAAAGGACCCAAUAUAAAUUGGGUACCUGAAAAAGGCAAGUGAUCUAUUCUGUAGGUAUGUCUACAAGCACAUGGACAACAUUGGUAUCUUGAUAGUGGAUGCUAGAGACAUAUGACAGGAGAUAGAUCAAAAUUCCUAUAUCUAUCAUUGAAAGAAAAAGGGUGUGUCACGUAUGGAGACAACAACAAAGGAAAAAUACUUGGCAUUGGAACAAUUGGCAACUAAAAUCACGUAGUGAUCGAGAAUGUGCUAUAUGUUGAAGGCCUGGAACACAAUCUCUUGAGUAUCAGCCAACUCUACGACAAAGGUAACAGUGUAUCUUUUGAUUCUGAAUGUUUUAUAAUUCGUGAGAAUAUAUAUAAUAAAGUUAAGUUUGUCAGAUAUCGUAUUAAUAAUAUCUAUAUGGUUAACCUAGAGGAUGUCACUACUCUAUUGUCAAAAUGUUUUAUAUCUAAAGAGAUGACAUCUGGCCUUAGCAUAGGUGCGUCGCUCACAUUCAUGUAAAGCAUCAAGAUAAAUUGUCUCAAAAUAAUUUGGUUGAUGGGCUACCAAAACUUGAUUUUAAAACUCAAGAAACUUGUGAUACUUGUCAAAAAUGUUAACAAGUUAAAAACUCUUUUGGUAAAAAGAAUGUGAUAUCCACAACAAGACCCUUGGAGCUUCUCCACAUGGACUUGUUUGGACCAUCACAAGUUAUGAGUUUUGGUGGUAGUUUUUAUGCUUUAGUAAUUGUUGACGAUUUCUCUACAUUCACAUGGACGUUAUUUCUAUCGUCCAAGAGCGAUGCAUUCAAGUCUUUCAAAAACCUUGCCAAACAAAUCCAAAAUUAGUUUAACCAUAAGAUAGUACACAUUCGAUCCGAUCAUGGUGGCGAAUUUGAAAACCAUCCAUUUGAUAAAUUUUGUGAUAAAUAUGGUAUUAUGCAUUAGUUUUUGGCUCCUCGUAUCCCUCAACAAAAUGGAGUUGAUGAUAGGAAGAAUUGAGUCUUAGAGGAGCUUGCUCGAAUCAUGCUGAACGAAAGCAAGGUUCCUAAGUAUUUUUGGGCUAAUGCAGUGCAUAAUGUUUUACAACUUGCUAUGUGAUUAAUCAUAUACUCUUGAGGCCUACUUUUUCAAAAACUCCAUAUGAACUGUUAAAAGGCCGUAAACCUAAUAUUUCUCAUUUUCAUGCUUUUGGGUGUAAAUGCUUCAUAUUAAAUAAUGGAAAAAGAGCUUUAAGUAAAUUUGAUUCAAAAGCUGAUGAGGGUAUAUUUUUAGGGUAUUCAUUGCAUAGUAACACUUAUCGAGUGUUUAAUAAAUAUUCAUUGCAAGUAGAAGAGUCUGUACAUGUCCAUUUUGACGAAUCUUCUCCAAAAGAAAAGAGAAAGGGAUUUUAUAAUGAUGUUGUAGGUGCUUUAGAAGAAGCAUACUCUAAGGACAUGGCCUAGAACAAAGAAGAAGAAGUAGAGAAAAUUUUCCAAGAUGAGCAUCAGGACUUGUUGAUCGCGUGCAAGACCAAGAAGGAUCAUCCACUCGACAAAGUUAUAGAUGAUAAAAAAUCGAGCCAAAGACCAUCGAUGAGGCCAUUGAGGAUGUGCACUGGGGUAUAGCUAUGCAAGAAGAGCUAAACUAGUUCGAGCGUAAUAAUGUAUGGAACUUGGUCCAGUGAUUGGUACUAGAUUGGUCUUUCGUAACAAAUUAGAUGAAUCUGGCUUUAUUAUAAGAAAUAAAGCACACUUAGUGGCCAAAGGCUACAACCAGGAGGAAGGCAUCGAUUAGGAUGCUUCUAUCCUUUCCACCGAUUAGGAUGCUUCUAUCCUUUCCACCGAUUAUGAACUUUAAGUUCUUUUAAAUGGAUGUCAAGAGCGCCUUUCUGAAUGGCUACAUUCAAGAGGAAGUAUAUGUUGAUCAACGUCUCGGCUUUAAAAUUUUUAAAUAUCCAAACCAUGUAUAAAACUCAAGAAGGCUCUCUAUGGUCUGAAACAAGCCCCUAGAGCCUGAUAUGAUAGAUUGAGCUCUUUCCUCUUGGAAAAAGGGUCCGUGAGGGGUAUGAUUGAUACUACCCUCUUUAUCCGUAUAUUAUUUGAUCAUGUACUAUUUUAGUUCAAAUAUAUGUUGAUGAUAUAAUUUUCGGAUCUACUAAUGACAUUCUUUGUAAAGAAUUUUCUGAGAUGAUGCAGGGAGAAUUUGAGAUGUUGAUGAUGGGUGAGCUGACCUUCUUCCUUGGGCUACAAAUCAAAAAAAUGGAAAAUGGCAUCCUCAUUCCUCAAUCCAAAUACUAUAAGGAGUUACUGAAAAAUUUCGACAUGGAAAAAUGUAAAGAAGCGUCAACAACUAUGGCGUCCGCUUGCUAUCUUGACAAAGACGAAAAGGGAAUAGCUAUCGAGGUAACCAAGUAUUGAGGGAUUAUCAACUCAUUAUUAUAUUUAACUGUGAGCUGCCCCGAUAUUAUGUUUAGUAUUUGUAUGUGUGCUAGAUUUCAAGCAUUACCUAAAGAUUCACAUUAUACGAUUGUUAAACGCAUCAUGAGAUAUUUAAAAGGAACAACUAAUAUGGGAUUAUGGUAUCCUAGGGAUUCCUUAUUAUACUUAGUACGAUAUUCCAAUUCUGAUUUUGCUGGAUGCAGGUUGGAUCAGAAGAGCACUAGUGAGACUUGUCACUUAUUAGGCAAUUCUUUAGUUGCAUGACAUAGUAAAAAGAAAGCUGGUGUUGCUUUGUCCACCGCUGAAGCGGAAUACAUUGUGCUGGUGUGUGUUGCACUCAAAUCCUAUGGAUGAAGCAACAACUUAAGGACUUUGGACUUGAUCAAGAAAAUAUCCCUAUAAAAUAUGAUAGUACAAGUGCCAUAAACCUAUCCAAGAAUCCCGUUUUGAAUUCGAGAACCAAACAUAUAGAAAUUAGACAUUAUUCUUGCGUGACCAUGUACAAAAAGGCGAUUGUAUGCUUGAAUUUGUUGAAACUACUAAGCAAUUGGAUGAUAUUUUCACCAAGCCUCUCUCACGAGAUACUGUCUAUGUUCUUCGAAGAGAACUUGGAAUCCUUGAUGAAAAUAUAUUAAUUAAAAUCGUCUAAAACCUUAUUAUAUGCUUCACAUGUUAAAUGUCUUAUAUGCUUCAAAAUGUGUAUUUGUUGAAUGCAUUAUAUUCCUAAUAUAACUCAUGAUCUAGCAUGAUAAGUUCUAUAUGUAUGUGUGUUUGACUAAAACCUCUUGUUUCUACAAAUCUAAUGCUUGUUAAUCGAUUAACCAUAAUUCUUAAUCGAUUAAAAUUAGUUUCAGUAGCCAACAUUUUAUUUUUCACGAAAUUUAAUCGAUUAACAUCCUACUUUAAUCGAUUACCUGUGCUCAUUUCUCUAAAAAUUUGAAAUUUUUAACUAUGAUUAAUCGAUUAAAUGCAGUCUUUAAUCGUUUAACGCCAUCAGAUAAAUUAAAAACAAUAUCAUUUUUGCCAUUUUUUCAAACCCUCUCUUCCAUCUUUUCUCUCUAAAUCUCAUAAGCAACAACAAAAUUCAAAAUUUUAGCUUAGAAGAUGAAUUAAACCUCACCUAUACCCAUAUUGCACCUCAUUUCAUCCCAUUUUGUCUCAAAUAUUCUAAGAAACCGCAUUCCCAAUUCCAAACCCUAAGUUUUGCUUUCUUCCCUUAUCCUUCUUCUCCUCUCAUACACUCACGGUUUUUCAAUCAAAAAUGGAAAUAGGAUGUUCAAAGAGUUUCAAGACAACUACUCAAUGCACUCGUAGGCCUCCUAUUGCUUCAUCUUCGAAUCUGAGUGUGAGAAAAGACCAUGGAGAUCCCUACUACUCUCUCAUAUUGCAGGAGACUCGGUUGUCAAAGUCUCAAGGCAGGAAACCAACAUACAUAAGGUAUGUUGAUCUAACCUGGAUGGCAGAACAAAAUUUUGAAUUUCCGCAAGGUAUGGAAGCUCAGGGAGCUGUCACUUUUCUGGAAUUAAAGGGAAAUCUGUACCCUACUUUGAUUAUAGAAUUUUUUGCCAAUUUGAGAUGGAUAGUGAUAUCUUUAUGAAUGUGAGUGGUUUAUCCACUAAUGGUGCUAGCCUAGGUGAUUGUGAUUGGCUUAAGGAUUUUGAUGUUGUUGAAGUUUACAAGUCUUGUUUGAGAGGUCCCCAUCUAUAUAUCCAAGGAGAACUAACAAAAGCAGGUUCAUUAUAUAUAGAGAAUAGAUUGCUUCACUAUCUGAUAGCUUACAUUUUAGUUCUAAGGAACACAAAUCAUGCACAACCUACUGUGAAUGAUUUGAAGUUCAUGUAUGCUGUUAAGUAAAAUGUUAUGAUUAAUUGUGAUGAGGAGACCCUGAAGGUCAUGUUUAAUGUCUCUACCUCAUAAUAUAAGCUGCUACCCUAUAGUACAUUCAUUUCAAGGAUCAUUGAUUAUCUGCAUAUUGAUGUGUCUCACACCAUCAUCAGGGAGACUUCUGAUAAAUAUCACCUUGUUGGUGAAAGCUUAAUUCACAAUAUGGGUAUCUACAAGUAUGGAAGUACUUGGAAAUACCAAGAGAAUUACACUAUAGUGGAUUUGGAUCUAUCUGAUGAUAAGGAUCAGGCUAGAACAGAUCAGCCUAAUGCAGGAACUCAGGGGGAGCCGACUGGAAACGCGCCGCAGGAACCAUCCUUUAGAUUAGCUCAGUUGGAUGCCAUGGAGCAAAGGCUAAAUAAUAGAAUGGAUCUACAUUUUCAGUCUCUGAAGGACUCCUACCAUACAGACUUGGAGCAAUGUGAGGAAAGUCAGAUCACCUACAUUGAUAACCACUAUGAGGCUAUAAGGAGCUUUGUUCAGAACACUGUUGAGGCACAAAAUGAGAGGUUUUGUGCAGAAUUUGAAAAGAUGAGAUUCCUCAUCCAGAGCGAUAGUAGUCUAACAGUUCCUGAUGACAAAGACCUUCCUCCGCAUCCCUAGAUUAAAAGACCUUAGACCCUAGGUUGCCUUAGGUUUAGUUCUUCUAUAUAGCUAAUUUUCAGGAUUUUUGCUGCUUUGUACUUGAUAUGCAUGCCAUUUGAACUUAAAUCGUUACCAUUUUGUUUUUCAAUUGCACACAUAAUAUUCCUAUCUAUGUCAAAUAUAGUAUGAAUAUAUGUUUAAUGGAAAUUGAUCAUGAUUGGUUAUAUGCAUCUCUUAGUUUGAUUGAGCCUACUAUUUGAAUGCUAUAAUAAAAAUGCUUGAUAAUUCCAUGCUUGAUUAGUUCUUGUAUAACCUUCCAUGUCAUUAAAUCAGUCCAAUCACUAUAUUCUAUUAGUUUAAUCGAUUAACCCAUUCAUUUAAUCGAUUAAAUGCUAUCAACAUGCGCACAUGUUCAAUUUUUCCUUCAACUGGUUGAUUAAUUACAUUCCCAAAAUGAAUUGAUUAAUUACAACUUGAUUUAAUUUCAUAACUCUUACUUUUGACCAAAAUUCAUGAGUUUAUCUUUUUGAUAAUGUCAAAAGCAGGAGAAAGGUUGCUUUGUUGUUUGAUGUGUGCAAGUUGUAAAUAAUAUCCAGCAUCUGUUGUUUAGCUAUGCGCUUUAACUUUGAAAUCAACAACCAUGCAUUCUAUGACCAUCUUCAAGCUAUGAAUCAAAACAAAAUUUGGUGUAGAGUUUAUCAUCAUAAAAAAGGGGGAGAUUGAAAGUGCAAAGGGUCAAGAUAGCACUAUUAGAUUGCCUAUGUGAGUAGAGUAGUCAAACUAAGAUAGGGGUUCUAGGAAUUCAAGAAGGGAGCAUUUAAAGUCUUGUAUUGAAAGUGUGCAUGUAAUAUACAUUCGUUUCAAUUUUAGUGAAGAAAAUAUCUUGAGAUCAGAAGGGGAGGACUGGAUGUAGUUGGACCGCAAAACGAACCAGGAUAAAAAUCCUUAUUGCAGGCUUUUUCUAACCCUUAACUCUUUAAUUUUCAUGUUGUUUAAUUGCCUAUUUUAGCUGAUAUUUUUGAAUCCUGUAACUCUGCCAUAUAGUGAUUAAUGUUGUUCAAAUAUAUAUGUUGUAUUGUAUCUAUUAUAUCGGCGAGUGGCCGUGCAGACAAGCCAUUUAAUGACUUGUUGUUUUGUGCAAUUUAAUCGAUUAAGUCAAUGCUUUAAUCGAUUAAUUGGGCAUUUUCUAGAAUAGGGCUUUGUUGCGAAAACGCGGUAUUUCGGAACCGCGACACCUAUUCAACCCCCCUUCUUGGUGUGUUCUUUCCACUGAUACCUCACAAGCAUGAUACUAUCUCUCAUUAUCUCACAUGCAUUUCUCUCUGCGUAUAUGACACACAAUGAACACGAAAAAUAUACAACUUAGCAAUUCUAAAAAUGAAUGAAUGAAUGUAUGUAGCAUGGUGUAAAAACACAGUUUAUAUAGAAACGUUGUUUGAUACAGUUAAUCGAUUAACCAAUGGGCUUAAUCGAUUAAGUCAAAAUAGAAAAAGAAUGAUCAGAUUAGCAACUUGCACAGUUAUUAACCAACAGAUAAGCAGAGAUAUAGCAGAUAUUUUUAUGGAAUAUUAACAAGAACAUAGCAAGGUAUAAGCAUGUAAAAUAUCAACUUCAAACUCGAAUUAAAAUAUCUUGAAAUAUAAAAGAUAAAGGGAUAGAAAAUAUUGCGCAAGGAUUUUAUCCUGGUUCGUUUUGUUGUCCACUACAAAACUACAUCUAGUCAUCCCCUCUGAUCUGGGAGAUUUUUCUUCUUCACUGUAGAACACAAUGUACGUUACAUACACGCUUCCAAUUACAAGAAUCAAAUGCUCCUUUCUUGGAACCCAAAUAACUUCGUCACCCUUGGUUUGACCUUUCCCAAAAUUGCCUCCAAGAAAACCUUUCUUACCGCGAUUCGGCCCCAGCCAAGGUAUCACUCUUUAUCCCAAGACCUUCAAGUCUUUGUGAAGAACACCUUACCUGACUGCAGCUAGGAUUUUCCCAAUCCUUGAAUUAACAAUGCUUUGAGUUAUGAAUGAGUACUUAAUAGUCAGAUACUAAAAUAAAGAUCAAAGACUAAAACCUAAGAAAGAACUCACAAGACUUCCUAGUCUAAUUUGAAUAUACAUGCAUGAGGUUUAUGAAAUUAUGUAAUCAUAACAAAACUAUCUCUUUUUCUUUUCAAGAAACACAAGAAUGAUGCAAGAAUGCUUUUUAAAGAAUCAUGCAAUAUGAAUGUGAAAACUAAAGCCUUAGCAUGAUCUUAUAUUUCUUAUAAUUCAACACUCUCUAAUAGUUUCUAACAAUGAUAAUCAAUUAUGUUUUCUCUGUGUUUUUCACUCUUAGCCAUUUAUGCAAUUUGCGAGGAUUUAUGCAAAAUAGAUUUUGCCUCUAAAAACAGUUUUUUUCAGUUAUGCAGUUGAAACAGUAGAAAACAGACACGUUAAUCGAUUAAGCCAUGGAGUUAAUCAAUUAACCAGUGUAACAUGAUUAAAACAGAAAACAAUUGAGUUAAUCGAUUAAGUCACCACGUCAAUCAAUUAACCCGUAUGUUAAAACACAUGAUUCAAAGGCAAACUACUCAUAUGUUAGGCUUAACUCCUAUACAUGUUUUAGCAAUUAUAUUAUGCCUAAUAUGCACAUAUAACAUGUAUGAUAUACAUGAACAUAUAAUAAACUAGAUGAUAUCUCAUUUUAGUGGAUUAGUUACUUUAUUAAGUCUUGUGAGACUCACACCUAGGUUUACCUAACCUAGACUCAAUAUCUAUGGUGAGCAUCUUAGACUUCUAAAAAGAUAAUAAAGAAUUAUAACCUAAGUCUAAUAAGUCACCACUUGAGCCCUAGGCAUGUUGAUUGUUGAGCCAUAUUCAAGCUUUAAUUAACUCAUUGUCUUCAUCAGAACAUAGGCAAAACAUUGCUAAUGCAAUCCUUGACGCUUUGCACUUUCACUCUAGUCUAGAGAUGAAGCUCUUGAAUCUUUGGCAUGUUGAUUUGUUGAGUUGUCUUUAAGCUUUCACUAAGUCCUUUGUCUUCAUCAAAACAUAGGCAAGCUUAAGUGCUCUCUUAACACAUUGCACUUUCAAUCUCCCCCUUUUUUAUGAUGACAAACUCAACACCAAAUUUCUUUUGAUUCAUACCUUGAAGAUGAUCACAAAAUGCAUGGUUGUUGAUUUCAAAGUUAAAACGCGUAGCUAGAAAACGGAAUCUUAGUAUUAUUUACGACCUGCACACAUUAAACAACAAAACUACCUUUCUCCCCCUUUUGACAUUAUCAAAAAGAUAAACUAAAUCAAAUUUUGGUCAAAAGUAAGAAGACAUAUGAAGUGAACUCAAACUGUAAUUAAUCAAUUAAUGUUGUGAAUGUAAUUAAUUAACGAGUUGAUGAAAGAAUAAAACAAGUUCACACAUUUACCAGCAUUUAAUCGAUUAAAACAACAGGUUAAUCGAUUAAACCAACAAAAUACAGUAAUAUGACAGAUUUAAUGGCAUGGAGGUUUAUACAUGAACCAAUCAAGCAUGGAAUGAUAAAGCAUUUAUAUUAUAGCAUUCAAACAGUAGUGUCAAUCAAACAUAAGAUAUACAUAUAACAAAACAUGAUCAAGAACCAUUAAACAUGCAAUCAUGCUAUAUUUGACAUAUAUAAGCAAAAUGAAACCACAAUAUGACCGAUUUAAGUUCAAAUGGCAUGCAUAUCAAGUCAUAAAAUUGCAGUAAUAGUAGAUAGCUAGAGUUACAAUCCAAAAAGCAAAGAGAAAAAUAUUUCUCGAAAUUACAAAGCAACAUAAAUCCUGAAAAUUAGCCAUAUAGAAAGACUAAACCUAGGGCAAUCUAAGAUCUAAGGCCUUCUAAUCUAGGGAUGCGGAGAAGGAUCUCUGUCAUCAGGUACGGCAGACUACUAUCACCCCGGAUGAGGAAUCUCAGCUUCUCAAACUCUACACAAAACCUCUCAUUUUGUGCUUCAACGGUGUUCUCGACAAAGCUCCUCAUAGUUUGAUAGUGGUUAUCAAUGUAAGCAACCUGACGCUACUCAAAUUGUUUCAAAUCAGUAUGGUAGGAGUCCUUCAAAGACUGAAAGUGUAAGUCCUUCCUGUUGUUCAGCCUUUGCUCCAUGGCAUCCAAUCGAGCUAAUCCAAAGGAUGAUUCCUGCGACACAGUUCCAGAUGGCUCCUCCUGAGUUUCUACAUUAGGUUGAUUUGUACCAGCCUGAUCCUCAUCAUCAGAUAGCUCCAAAUCCACUAUAGUAAAAUCUUCCUGGCAUUGCCAAGUACUUCCAUACUUGUAGAUACCCAUCUUGUGGAUAAGGCUUUCACCAACAAGGUGAUCUUUGUCAAAAGUCUCUCUGACGAUGGUGUCAUAUACGUCAAUAUGCAGAUAGUCAAUAAUUAUCGAUAUGAAGAUACCGUAGGGCAACAAUUUGGAUUACGAUGUAGAGACAUUAUACAUGACCUUCAGAAUUUCUUCAUGCUAGUUAACCAUUAUAUUCUCCUUCACAACAUACAUAAAUUUCAGAUCAUUAACAGUAGGUUGUGCAUGAUUAGUGUUCCUCUGAGUCAAGAUGUACACAGUAAAAUAGUGAAGCAAUCUAUUCUCUACCGAUAAAGAACUAGUUUAGUCAGUUCUCCCUAGAGAUACAGAUGGGGACCUCUCAGACAUGAUUUAUAUACCUCGACGACAUCAAAUCAGCAAGCCAUUCACAAUCACCUAGACUAACACUAGUAGUGGAUAAGCCACCCACAUUCAUAAAAAUGCUACUAUCCAUCUCAAACAGAUUUCCCGAAAUCAUAGCCCAAUAUCUACCGUCCUUAUAACGAAAGUUAGUGUAAAAUUCCCUAAGCCUGCAUACCUUGCGGAAAUUCGAAAUUCUUUUCUGCCAUCCACGUAAGAUUGAUAUACCUUAUGUAGGUGGGUUUCCUUCCCAAAAAUUUGGACAACCGGGUCUUCUGAAUUAUGAGUGAGUAGUAGGGAUCUCCAUGGUCGUGCCUUACAUUUGGAUUUGAAGAUGAAUUAGGAGGCCUACGAGUGCGUUGAGCAAUUGUCUUGAACCUCUUCGAACAUCCUCUUUCCAUUGUUGAUUAAAAACUGUGAGUAAUGAGAGGUGAAGGAGGAUAAGGGAGGGAACCUAGAGCUUAUGGUUUGGAAUUGGGAAUGACAUUUCUUGGGAAAUAGAGAAACGAAUUGGAUGAAUUGAGGUGCACAAAUGGGUAAAUGUGAGGUUUAAUACUUUUAUUAAGCUAAGAUUUCGAAUUUGCUGUUUGCAUUUGAGAUUUUCAGAGAAAAGGAGGAAGAGAGAGUUUGAAAAAGGGACAAAAGAGCUUCUGAUUCUAAUAUAUAUGUUGUUGUUAAUCGAUUAAGUGUUGUAUUUAAUUGAUUAAGCAAUGUAAAAAUUCCAGGUUUUCAGAAAAAUGAGCUCAGGUAAUCGAUUAAAAUGCAUCUUAAUCGAUUAAAUUUAGUGAAAAUUGAACUGUUUACUACUGGAACUCAUUUUAAUCGAUUAAAAAGGAUAGUUAAUCGAUUAACUAGCAUCAGAUAUGUAGAAUCAAGAGGUUUUUGAGUUUUAGGAUCAUGCAAAGAUUUCUAAUAUUUAUCAAGCAUUUUUUACUCAAUCACAUAUAUAUUUUUAGCUUGUCACACAAGAUCAUGAGUCAUAAUAGGAAUAUAAUGCAUUCAUAACAAGUAUACAUUUUGAAGCAUAGAAGACAUUAAACAUGUCAAGCAUAUAACAACAUUUUUAGACAAUUUUAAUGAAGAUAAUUUUCAUCAAGAAUUCCAAGUUCUCUUUGAAGAACAUAGAAGGUAUCUCGUGAGAGAGGCUUGGUGAAUAUAUCAACCAAUUUCUUAGAUGUUUCAACAAAUUCAAGCACACAAUCGCCUUUUUAUACAUGGUUACACAAGAAAUGAUGUAUAAUUUCAAUACGUUUGGUUCUAGAAUGCAAAACAGGAUUCUUGGAUAGGUUUAUGGCACUUGUAUUAUCACAUUUUAUUGGAAUCUUUUCUAGGUCAAGUCCAAAGUCCUUAAGUUGCUGCUUCAUCCAAAGGAUUUGAGCGUAACACACACCGACAACAAUGUAUUCCGCUUUGGUGGUGGACAAAGCAACACAUGUUUGCUUUUUACUAUGCCAUGCAACUAAGGAACUACUAAGUAAAUGACAAGUCCCACUAGUGCUUUUCUGAUCCAACUUACAUCCCACAAAAUCGGAAUCGGAAUACCCUACCAAGGAUAAUGAGGCAUCCCUAGGAUACCAUAAUCCCAUAUUAGUUGUUCCUUUUAAAUAUCUCAUGAUUCGUUUUACAACAGUAUAAUGUGAAUCUUUAGGCAAAGCUUGAAAUCUAGCACACAUACAAACACUAAACAUAAUAUCGGGGCGACUCGUAGUUAAAUACAAUGAUAAUCCCACGAUAUUUGGUUACCUCGAUUGCUUUUCCCUUUUCAUCUUUAUCUAGAUAGCAUGUGGACGCCGUAGGUGUUGAAGCCUCUUUACACUUUUCCAUAUCGAACUUCUUUAAUAACUCUUUGCAAUAUUUCGAUUGAUGAAUGAAGAUGCCACUUUCCAUUUGUUUGAUUUGAAGUCCAAGAAAGAAGGUCAGCUCACCCAUCAUCGACAACUCAAAUUCACCCUGCAUCAACUCAGAAAAUUCUUUAUAAAGAAUGUCAUUAGUAGAUCCGAAUAUUAUAUCAUCAACAUAUAUUUGAACUAAAAGCACAUGAUUAUCUAAUCUACGAAUAAAGAGGGUAGUAUCAACCAAACCCCUCACGAACCUUUUUUCUAAGAAGAAAGAGCUCAAUCUAUCACACCAAGCUCUAGGAGCUUGUUUCAGGCCAUAAACGACCUUUUUGAGCUUAUAUACAUGGUUCGAAUACUUAAAAUUUUCAAAGUCGGGAGAUUGAUCUACAUAUACCUCCUCUUGAAUGUAGCCAUUCAAGAAGGCGCUCUUGACAUCCAUUUGAAAGAGCUUGAAGUUCAUAAUUGAUGCAAAGGAUAAAAGCAUCCUUAUGGCCUCUAAUCUGGCUACAAGAGUGUAGGUCUCAUCAUAAUCGAUGCCCUCCUCCUGGUUGUAGCCUUUGGCCACUAAGCGAGCUUUAUUUAUGAUUAUCAAGCCAGAUUCAUCCAAUAUAUUACGAAAGACCCAUCUUGUACCAAUCACUGGAUGUUCUUUAGGCUUAGGGACCAAGUCCCAUACAUUAAUAUGCUCGAAUUGGUUUAGCUCUUCUUACGUAGCUAUACCCUAGUGCAUAUUCUCAAUGGCCUCAUUGAUGGUCUUAGGCUCGAUUUGAGAUACAAAAGCAACAAAGUUACAAAGUUACAUAAAGAGCUACGGGUUACCACCCCCGUAUAUCACCUAUCACUUUGUCGAGUGGAUGAUCCUUCUUGGUCUUCCACAUGAUUGGCAAGUCCUGAUGCUCAUCUUGUACAGUUUGUUAUGCUUCUUCUUCUUUGUCCUGGUCAAUGUCCUUAGAGUAUGCUUCUUCCAAAGCACCUGCAACAUCAUCAUAAAAUACAUUCCUCUUCUCUUUUGGAGAAGAUUCGUCAAAAUGGAAAUGCACAGACUCUUCUACUGGCAUUGAAUAUUAAUUAAAGACUCGAUAAGCUUUACUAUGCAAAGAAUACCCCAAAAAUAUACCCUCAUCACUUUGAAUCAAAUUUACUUGAAGAUCUUUUUCCAUUAUUUAAUAUAAAGCAUUUACACCCAAAAACAUGAAAAUGAGAAAUAUUAGGUGUACGAUCUUUUAAAAGUUCAUAUGGAGUUUUUGAAAAAGUAGGCCUCAAGAUUAUACGAUUAAUCACAUAGCAAGCUGUAUGUACUGCAUUAGCCCAAAAAUAUUUAGGAACCUUGCUUUCAUUUAGCAUGGUUCUAGCAAGCUCCUCUAAGACUCGAUUCUUUCUCUCAACAACUCCAUUUUGUUGUGGGUUACGAGGGGCCUAAAUGUGAUGCAUACUUCUUAUUACAAAAUUUAUCAAAUAAAUGGUUUUCAAAUUCGCCACCAUGAUCGAAUCGAAUAUAUAUUAUCUUAUGAUUAAACUGGUUUUGAAUUUGCUUGCCAAGGUUUUUGAAAGAUUUAAAAGCAUUGUUCUUGGACGAGAGAAAUAAUGUCCAUGUAUAUCUAGAGAAAUCGUCAACGAUCACUAAAGCAUAAAAGCUACCACCAAAACGCACAACCUGUGAUGGUCCAAACAAGUCCAUAUGGAGAAUCUCCAAAGGUCUUUUUGUGGAUAUCACAUUCCUUUUAGCAAAAUAGUUUUUAACUUGUUUACAUCUUUGACAAGUGUCACAUGUUUCUUAAGUUUUAAAAUCAAGUUUUGGCAGCCCGUCAACCAAAUUAUUUUUAGAGAAUUUAUCUAGAUGCUUUAUUUGAAUAUGAGCGACACGCCUAUCCCAAAGCCAAAUGUCAUCUUCUUUGGAUAUAAAACAUUUUGAAAUAGAGUAGUGACAUCCUCCAGAUUAACCAUAUAGAUAUUAUUUAUACGAUAUCCGAAAAACUUAACUUUCUUAGAUAUAUUGUCACGAAUAAUACAACACUCAGAAUCAAAAGAUACACGGUUACCUUUAUUAUAUAGUUGACUGAUACUCAAGAGGUUAUCUUCCAGACCUUCAACAUAUAACACAUUUUCGAUCACAACCCGAUUUGAGUUGCCAAUUGUUCCGAUGUCAAGUAUCUUCUCUUUGUUGUUGUGUCCAUAAGUGACAAACCCUUUUUCUUGCAAGGAUAGAUCUAGGAAUUUUGAUCUAUCACCCGUCAUAUGUCUUGAGCAUCCACUAUCACGAUACCAAUGUUGUCCAUGAGCUCGAAGACAUACCUGCAAAACAUAGAUCACUUGCCUUUUUCCGGUACCCAAGUUAUGUUGGGUCCUUUUAUGUUAGUAACUAAGGAGUUAUCUCCCUUUUUCAUCCAUACAUACAUGCCACUAGGUAUACCAUAUUUUCUAAUAUGACAAGAGUAGGAGGUGUGGCCAUAAGUGCCACAAUAAAAACAUGUAGGAACCUUUUUAUUAAAAAAUUUCUCAUUGGGCCAAUUAAUAGGUCUCCUAUAUGGUCUUAUCCUACGCAUAGGGGGAAUAUAUCCUAGCCCAUUAUGGUCACCAACAUUCUUGGUUUUACUAAGCAUAGUGUAUAACAUGUUUUGACUCUCUGUGAGUUUUACGAGUUUUUCAUUUAAUCUCAAAUUUUCAUUUUUCAAAUCAUCGCAAGAAUCAUAGAUAGUUGGUUGACAUAAAUUAUUAUCAAAGCAAUUGCAUGCAUUACAAGAGUAGAUCAAAUCUAAUGUUUCAUUUUCCAAUUUUAGUUCAUCUAAUUCUUUUGUAAUGAAACUAUUUUUUGUUCAUUUUGCAGGAUUACACUUUUUCUAUCAGAACUAAUCCUAGCUAAUAUCUUCAAUUCAUCAUGCAAUUCGACAUACGCAUUAUACAAGUCCUCAAAAUGAGGAGAAUCAUCAGAUGAAGUAGAUGAGGUGUGAGAAUAUACCUCGCUAUUUACCUCUUUUGAAUUUGAGCAACAAGCAUCAUUUGUUCUCGUCAUUAAGCAUAACUUUGCUGUCUCCUCUUCAUCUGAGGUGCUGGAUGUCGUGUCCUCCUCUUGUACAUCCCAUACUAUAUAAGCUUUCUUCAAUUUGAAGUCCUGAGGAGUGCUCUUAUCUGAAUCAACCUUCUUGAGGUAAGUAGGACAUUGGAACCUCGUAUGUCCUUGCUUACCACAUUCAUGGCAAGUGAAGCGCUCUUUACUCUUGCCUUUUCUGAUUGACUCCCGCACUUCUUUCUUCUAGAAACGUUUGAAGCCUCCUUUCUUUAGAAAUUUCCCAAAUUUGCGUACGAUAAGGCUCAAGGUUUCUUCGUCUACAUCUGAAUCAGAUUCAUCUUCUUCUCUCUCUUCUGUGGAUUGAGAUGUUGUUGCCUUGAGAGAUAUACUUUUCUUUUUGCGUUCUGAUUCUUCAUGCCUAGUCAGGCGUCCAAGCUCCAUUUCAUGCUCUUGAAGUUUUUCGAACAAUGUCGCCAAAGGCAUAGAGUCAAGAUCCUUUGAUUCCAUAAUAACUGUUACUUUUGGUUGCCAUCUCCUGUCAAGACAAGUAAAACUUUGUUAGUAAGCUCUCCUUUGUUAAACAAUUUAUCUAAAGCAACUAAAUGGUUAACUAUAUGAGUAAAACGUUUUUGCAUAUCACCAAUAGAUUCAUCUAGUAACAUACGAAAUAACUCAUAUUCAUGUGUCAGGGCAUUCAGCCUGGCACGCUUGACUUCGCUAGUGCCUUCGUGAAUCACUAGUAAAGUGUCCCACAUUUCUUUAGCACUUUGGCACUGCGAAACUUGAAAGAACUCAUCAUAGGAUAGGGCCAAUAUGAUGAUAUUUUUGGCACGCAGGUUAUACUGAACCUUUUUGCAUUCAUCAUCGGUCCAUAGACUUUUUGGUUUAUCUUUCGGUUCCUCGUCCACUAAAUGUUGUGGAACAAAGGGCAUGUUGACUACGAAUUCCAAAUAUUCGAGUCGAUGGCCUCUAUAAAGAUUUUCAUGCAAACUUUCCAGUAGGAAUAUCCUUCGCCACUGAAAACGGGAGGGCGGUUAAUGGAUGUGCCAUCACUGCCAAAAGGGUUGGUGGAAUCCAUUUAAUUUCCCUAAUGGAUCACACAGAUACAAUUAAGCUAGCACGACAUACUAGCCCUGAUACCACUUGUUAGGUAUCAGUGACAAAAUACACCUAGAAGGGGGGGUGAAUAGGUGUCGCGGUUCCCACUUACCGCUAUUUACACCAAAAUCCUAUUAUGGAAAAUCACCCAGUUAAUCGAUUAAAGCUAUGACUUAAUCGGUUAAGUCACACAGCCAAUUACAAAUUACACAGAAAUGAUAUAGCAGAUAUAUUUGAACACAAAUGAUCUUUAUUUGGCAGUAAUACUAUAUUGAAAAUAUCAGCUAUAAUGGGCAAUUAAAAGCUACUUAAAACAGUAAAGAGAUAAGGGAAAGAAACAGCCUGCAACAAAGUUUUUAUACUAGUUCGUUUUACGGUCCAUUGCAAAACUACAUUUAGUCCUCCCCUCUGAUCUGGGAGAUUUUAUUCACUAAAAUUAAAGCCAAUGUAUCUUACAUACACACUUCCAAUUACAAGACCUUGAACGCUACCUUCUUGAAUUCCCAGAACCUCUAUCUUGGUUUGACCUUACCCAAUCGCCUAGGAAAACCUUUCCUACGAUCCAGCAAGAGUAUGUUCUAAACUCAAGACCUCCAAGUCUUGGUGAAGACUCUUUGAUCUCGUUGGUGGUACGACACCUAGAGAUGAUUUUCCUUGUUACACAAAAAACACAGUAUUGUGAAGCACAAAAUAGCUCAAAUAUGCCUCGGAUGCACAAAUUACAUGUAUUUAUAUGAUGCAUGAACAUAUUAUAAAUGACAUAUCUCAAAACUUAAAAUGAUUUAAAGUUUUAUGCAUAUGAGACAUGUAUAGAGUUUACCUAAGCCUUAGACUCAACCUAAACUAACUAUUAGUCUAAGUCUAAUACCAAUCUAGAGACUUAAGCAUGUUGAUUUGUUGAUGANNNNNNNNNNNNNNNNNNNNNNNNNNNNNNNNNNNNNNNNNNNNNNNNNNNNNNNNNNNNNNNNNNNNNNNNNNNNNNNNNNNNNNNNNNNNNNNNNNNNGCAAAGUAUGAGUCCUUCAACCCUUGAAAAUGAAGAUCCAUGCGGUUGUUGAGCCUUUGCUCCAUAGCUUCCAUCUGAGCCAUACCGAAAAUAGAAUCCUCUGAUGCUGUCCUAGAGGGCUCCCCCUCAUUUGUAGCAUUCUGAUCACCCAUGCCACCCUGAUCAUCAUCGGACUGCUCCAGAUCAAUAGUAGUGUAGUCAUCCUGGUAUUUCCAAGUAGUACCAUACUUGUAUAUACCUAUUUUAUGAAUGAGACUCUCACCAACCAACAGUAUACUCAACAAUAAUGGUGUCAAAAACAUCUAUAUGCAAAUAAUCCACAAUGCGUGAAAUGAAUAUACUGUACGGAAGCAGCUUUGACUGAGAUAGAGACACACUGUUCAUAAUCUUCAAUAUUUCCUCAGGCCAAUUAAUCAUUACAUUAUGCUUAACAGCGUACAUGAAACGCAAAUCAUUCACAGUGGGCUGCGCAUGAUUUGUGUUCCUCUGUACCAGAAUAUAAGCAAUGACAUAAUUUAGCAGCCUGUUCUCAACAGAUAAUGACCCAGCCUUGGUCAGUUGACCCGGAAUAUACAAAUGAGGACCUCUAAGAAAUGACUGAUAAACCUCAGUAGGAUCAAAAUUAUCCUUAACCCAUUAGCAAUCGCCUAUUCCAUAACCUGAAGAUGACAAUCCACCGACAUUCAUAAACAGAUCCUCACUAAUCUCAAACAAUUUACCAGAAAUCAUAGACCAGUAUUUACCAUCCUUAUAUCUGAAAUUUGCAUAAAAUUCCCUAACUAGAGCAGGGUAAACUUGUCCCUUUAAUUCCAAAAAUUUAACGGCUCCCUGAGCCUCCAUAUUAUACGGAAAGCUGAAAUUCUGUUCCGCCAUCCAGGUUAAGUCGACAUACCUUACAUACGUGGGUUUGCGUCCUAAGAACUUCGCCAAAUGGGUCUCUUGCAGAAUGAGCGAAUAAUAAUGGUCACCGCGGUCCCGAGUGGAGGAUGAGCCAGCUUCCGGUCUUCGUCCACGAUUGGCAGCAGUUUUGAACCUUUUUGCACGACUUUGCUCCAGUUUAAUGUAGAAUCCGAGUUGAUGUUGGACGAAGCAGAGAAGGAUUGGGCAAACCUAACCUAGGGUUUAAUUUGGGGGGAAAUGGGAAUAUGAUGGAAUGAGGAUGAUAAUGUGAGAUUUCGAGGUGGUUUUGAGAGGGUUAGGGAGAGGUUUAUCUACCUUAUAGCACUUGGAUCAGUUGAGUUGCAAUUUCAGAGACUUGCAAGUGAAAAGAGGUGGAGAAAAUGCCAGAAAAAGCGUGAAACUGAGGUGCUUUCUGCACUUAAGCUGAUGGUUUUAAUCGAUUAACGGGCAUGGUUAAUCGAUUAAAAUCAUGUAAAAAUUGAUUUUUCAGAAAAUGAUGCCCAGGUAAUCGAUUAACACUGAGUGUUUAAUCGAUUAAACACUGUAAAAAAAGUGUUUUUCAGCUAGCAUUUUUAGCUAGUAGAACGGUUUCAACUCUUUGGGGCUUAUGCAUGCAUUUUAACGGAUUAAUCGACACAUUUUUAAUCACGAAAAUGAAGUUAUCAUGGGGUAUAAUUUUGUACUACAACAUAUAUCAUUUAGAACAAGAGACAAAUAAACAUAUAGAGGCAAGACAUAACGCAAACAUCUAGGCAGUUUUAAUCAAGAUAUUGUUCAUCAAGAAUUUCAAGUUCUCUCCUUAGAACAUAGAAAGUAACCCGUGGAAGGGGCUUGGUGAAAAUAUCUGUUAACUGUCUAGAGGUUUCAACAAAUUCAAGAACACAAUCACUUUUUUUGUACAUGAUCACGUAAGAAAUGAUGUCUAAUUUCUAUAUGCUUGGUUCUAGAAUGCAAAAUGGGAUUCUUGGAUAGGUUUAUGGCACUUGUAUUAUCGCAUUUAAUGGGGAUCUUUUCCAGUUUAAGACCAAAGUCCUUAAGUUGCUGCUUUAUCCAGAGGAUUUGAAACACACCGGCGGCAAUGUAUUCCGCUUUGGCGGUGGACAAAGCAACAUAUGCUUGCUUUUUACUAUGCCAUGCAACUAAUGAACUGCCCAACAAGUGACAGGUACCACUAGUGCUUUUCCGAUCCAAUUUACAUCCGGCGAAAUCGGAAUCGGAAUAUCCUACCAAGGAUAGUGAGGCGUUCCGAGGAUACCAUAAUCCCAUGUUAGUUGUUCCUUUUAAAUAUCUCAUGAUUCUUUUAACAGUUACAUAAUGUGAUUCUUUAGGUGAUGAUUGAAAUCUCGCACACAUGCAUACACUAAACAUGAUAUAAGGUCGACUUGCAGUUAAGUAAAGUAAUGACCCAAUUAUACCACGAUACUUUGUUACCUCUAUUGCUUUUCCUUUUUCGUCCUUGUCUAGGUAGCAAGCAGAUGCCAUAGGAAUAGAGGCUUCCUUACAUUUAUCCUUAUCAAAUUUAUUGAGUAGCUCUUUGCAGUAUUUUGCCUGAUGAAUGAAUAUCCCACUUUCUAGCUGCUUUAUUUGAAGUCCUAGAAAGAAUGUGAGUUCUCCCAUCAUAGACACUUCGAACUCUCCCUGCAUCAUCUCAGAAANNNNNNNNNNNNNNNNNNNNNNNNNNNNNNNNNNNNNNNNNNNNNNNNNNNNNNNNNNNNNNNNNNNNNNNNNNNNNNNNNNNNNNNNNNNNNNNNNNNNGUUUAGCUCUUCUUGCAUAGCUAUACCCCAGUGCACAUCCUCAAUGGCCUCAUUGAUGGUCUUAGGCUCAAUCUGAGAUACAAAAGCUACAAAAUUGCAAAAAUUUCGUAAGGAACUACGGGUUACCACUCCCGUAGAUAUGUUACCUAUUACUUUGUCGAUUGGGUGAGCUUUCUUGGUUUUCCACGCAGCAGGCAUAUCUGAAUGCUCCUGAGACUUGGUCUGACAUUCUUCACUGGUUGUUGUCUUAUUAUCCACGUCCUUUGAGUAUGCUUCUUCUAAAGUACCUGCAACAUCAUCAGACACAACCUUUCUCUUCUCUUUUAGAGAAGAUUCUUCAAAUUGUACAUGGAUAGACUCUUCUACUUNNNNNNNNNNNNNNNNNNNNNNNNNNNNNNNNNNNNNNNNNNNNNNNNNNNNNNNNNNNNNNNNNNNNNNNNNNNNNNNNNNNNNNNNNNNNNNNNNNNNGAUUUGCUUGGCAAGAUUUUUAAAAGUUUUGAACGCGUCACUUUUUGCAGAUAAAAAUAGUGUCCAUGUAAAUCUGGAGAAAUCAUCAACAAUAACUAGAGCAUAGUAGCUACCACCAAAACUCAUGAUUUAUGAUGGUCUAAACAAGUCCAUAUGGAGUAGUUCCAAGGGCGUUGAAGUGGAAAUCACAUUUUUCUUUUUAUAGGAGUUUUUGGUUUGUUUACACUUUUGGCAAGUGUCACAAAUUUCUUUGGUUUUAAAGUUUAGUUUUGGUAGCCCUUCAACUAGUUCGUUUGAUGAUAAUUUAUCUAGAUGUUUUACAUGGAUAUGUGCAACGCGUCUAUGCCAAAGNNNNNNNNNNNNNNNNNNNNNNNNNNNNNNNNNNNNNNNNNNNNNNNNNNNNNNNNNNNNNNNNNNNNNNNNNNNNNNNNNNNNNNNNNNNNNNNNNNNNUUAAAAUGAUUUAAAGUUUUAUGCAUAUGAGACAUGUAUAGAGUUUACCUAAGCCUUAGACUCAACCUAAACUAAUUAUUAGUCUAAGUCUAAUAACAAUCUAGAGACUUAAGCAUGCUGAUUUGUUGAUGAUCUUCAAGAUUUCAUGAUCACAAGUUGUCCUCAUCAAAACUAAACACAUAGAGAAAGCUUUCCAAAGUGCUAUCUUGAUAUGCGCACUUUCAGUCUCAUCUCUUAGUAAGUUAAAUCAAUUUUUUUAUCAUAGCAAUGGAACUUCUACUGCAAGCACCCGGUAAUGAAAAUUGGGAUGCACAUCUACAUAUACUUUUAGCAUAGCUAUGAGAUUUGUUUUCGGGUAAUAUGACAAGCCCUAAGAGACCUAGAUAUAUAUGGAAAUAGUAAAGAGAAAGUUGGUAAGUGGGGGAUUGAAUUCAUUUCCCAUCAGGUUCAGUCCUUUGACCAAGUUGGGUGCCUUUGCUCCACAAGGGUGUUCACAUGUGGUAUAUCAUAAUAUUUUACUUGGUUUGUUCAUAUUUGAAUAGCUACAUUGUUGUAAUACCAUUUUAUUUUAGUUUAAUUGAUUUUUUGUCCACAUAGCUCAUCUUAGUUUGUAGAGCUGUGGUUCUGGGUUCAAACACUAGCGACUGCAUUCUCCCCUUCUCCUUUAAAAUUUUUUGCCUAUAAAGAAAUUGUAUUCUUUUUUUCCUUUCAAGGGAAUAUAAAGGUUCAUUGGUACACCACAUACAUGCUAUUCAUUGCAGGUCUAAUAUUUUUAUGUUUUUUUUUGUUGUUGUUACAAAAUAUAGAUGAGUGCUGAAUAUUAUGAUUUUGGGCCUUACAAGAUACAUCAUUCUCCAGUGUUUUAUACAAUUGAUCUUUCUUUUGCCCAUGUCAACCUACGCCCUACUAUGCCAUGUGAGUUUCUCCCUCACUUCUAUGAUCAUCAAUUCCUAACACCAAGUUUCUAUAUUUGAAUAUGUAAUCAGUAUCGUAAGAGAAUUAGUUAGUAUUGUCCAUAUAAUAUUCAUAUCAUAAGGGGAUUUAUUUUGUUGUUUAAUUGCCUAAAACAGUAGUUGUUUCUCCCAUGCCUAGUAAAUUUACUUUGUUAGUAGAAUUUUCCUUUCAUUUUGCAGGUCGUAUCCUUUUGAAAAUGGGGUCUUAAUAAUAUGCUGGGUUGGGAUGAUUAAUGCAUUUUGUUAUUGUGUAAAUUUCAAGUUGUGGUACUUUUUUAUUUGGAAAACUUAAACCAGCUAAAUAACUAAUGAAAUACUUCAAGCUCAACGCUUUGUUAAUGAACACGAAUUAUGAUAUAGCGUUAUGACAUCGUUCGAUCCAUGUAGCCGAUCUCACCUAAUGGAAUAAAAGAUUAAUUGUUGCUGUUGUUGUGGCAAUACAUAUUCACAAUAAGUUCCCUAGGCACAGUCUACACAUCAACAUAUAAACUUGCACAUAUACUUCAUUAUACUAUUGCAAUGGUUACUAUUGGCAAUUUUGUCACUAGAUCCAUUUGAUAGUUAAGUAGUGAUAUAGUGAUAUUCCAUUUGUUUCAUAUAUCACAUUGAGUGUGAUACUUAAAAAACUGACUUGCUUCAUAAGAUAAUCAAUAUAACAAGGCCUUCAUAUGCCCAUUGGAACCAUAUCAACAAAGUCAUGCUAAACAAAAUAUUGGUUUCACAUAUCCCUUGCUUAAUUGAAAGUCUCAAUCUGUUAUAUUAGAGUAUUGUCUGAAGUUUUUAUUAGGAAGUAGGAUAAUUGAAUUUGGGGUUGGAUAGCAUAAUAGUAUAGCACUAGAAAUGAAAUUUGUUUAGUUUGAAAUGUAUCAUAUCAGUGCCAUGUUUUAAUGAUCUGUAUCUACUUAGUGUUUACCAUGUAGUGUUGCCGUGUUGGUUAUAUAGUUAUUUAUGGAACAUUUAAUUUCUAUAUGUGCAUGAUAAUGAAAUUUGUUUAGUAUGUAAUGUAUCAUAUCAUUGCCAUGUUUUGCUGCUCUGUAUCUACUUAGUGUUUACCAUGGAGUGCUGGUUACAUAGUUAUGCAACAUUUAAUUUCUACAUGUAUGUUAAUUUUACAUACUUAGUUAGUGUAUAUAAUGAUACAGUAAUUAUUAAUAUUUUUUUUAUUGUUCCAACUAAAUGUUUUUAUUUUAUUGUUCCAACCAAAUGAUGAUGCAAGUAUAUCUGGUAUACCUUUGAGUGCAAGAGAAUCAUAUGGAGCCAACAACAUUUAGGAUAUUUGUUAUAUAUUUUGUCAUAUGAGACUACUUUUAGUUUUUUUUUCAGAUUUUAUGGCGUAUUUGGAUUUAUAAUGAAACAUGAACCAUAGCUCUUUCAACUUUGUUAUGUUAUUUUAGUUAUUAUUGCUAACAACAUUUGUAUUUAGUAUUGUAAGUUUGAAUAAUUAUUAUAAAUUAAUGAGAUUAAAGUUCUAAAAAAUAAGAAAUUAAAUAGAGGUUAAAAUCCUCUAGAAACAUAUAAUAGAUACCUUCAUGCAGGGUUCCAUAUAUUAUUUCGAGUAGUGAGGUUGAAAAUCUCUACAAUUAACUUUAUUAAAUAGUGGAGGUUUAAAGCCUUCAUGAUAAACACUACAAAAACCUCCUCAAAUAAUGGAUCUUAAACUAAUGAAUGAUGAUUCAUUCCUAAAUAAAUACAUUUAAUACAAAUAUUGAUAAUAAAUGAAUAAAUAUAUUGAAAGAAUAAACUAAUAAAUAUGAUGUUACUAUUAAAGACGUAUUACAAAUAUGUUAUUAUCUAGAAAACUAAAUAAUAUGUAUAAAAAGUAAUUUUCAUUAAUUUCUUAUAUAUAGGUAAUGGAUAGAGUAGAAAAAUAGUCAUAAUAAAUACUGAAUAGAUUUUGAUGAAAAAGAAAGCUUUGACUUAGGUUUAUUUUAUAAAAUAACUUGUAAAAGAAAUUUUUUUUAGGAGGUUGAAUAAGUUAAAUGUUAGAAAGGUUUUUUAAUUAAAAAAAUUAAAUGAGAAAUUCUAGAAAAUAAAAGGUUUAAUAUGAUUGGGCCGAAAAAGUGACUGAAGUCACAUAUAUUUAAUGAAUAAAUUAAUGAGGUCAUAACAUAUGGGAGAUGAGGUGCAUUGUACACGAUGAAGGUUUUAGGGGUGGGAUUCCCCACAAGCUGACAAGUGGUGAGUAAUAAAUGUUACAAUUUAGUGAGGUGCAUUGAAAAAGAAGGGUCACAUAAACUAAUCAAAGAGUCACAUGAUAUAAUAUCUGAGAGUCUAUAAUAAAAAUAUGGACAUUUUUUGAGGGAAAAAAGUGUAUAAAAAGUUGAAAGUUGUCAUGAAGAAUUUUUAACUUAUAUAUAAGUAAAAGAUGGGUUUGGAAAAUGUUAUUUCACAAUCAUUUACCGUAUCUAGUUGAUGACAUUUGCCAACAACCAUUACUUAUUAUCACUAUUCACUUUCCUUGUGAUUCAACUUGCUCUUGCUUUGCUUACAGAGAUGGAAACGGGUCGAAUCGGGUUGAACCAGAACUUAGCUUGAUAAGGAUCUUCUCAAUUUCAAACUCGACUCAAGUUUGAUACAAAUUAUUCUUUUAGCUCAGGUUCAACUCGGUUAAAGUUCGCGAAUUGUUCAAUUCAACUUGAAUUGGUUCAUUUAUAUAACUCAAAUAAUAAAUUUAUUUAAAAAACAUAAUAUUGCAUAAGGUUAUAUAUAUAUAUAUAUAUAUAUAUAUAUAUAUAAAUAUAACAUUGUUUAUAUAUAUAAUAACAAUAAAUAUAAAAAUUAGUUAUAUAUAUAUAUCGAGCCAAACUCAUGAACCUAACGAGUCUAAAUAUUUGUAUGAUACAAAUUAGAUAAAAUAAAAAAUAAUCUAUAUAAUGAAACACAUACUUAAGUGGCACAAAGGGAGGAGUAAGCUUUACACUAACAUCUUAAGGGUACAUAUUAAGCUUUACACUAACAUCUUAAGCUUUACACUAACAUCUUAAUUGAUCCAAUAUGUAAAAGUGAUCAUGUAACCAACAAUGUGUGGGAAGUGUUUAAUGCAUGGAUUGUAGAUGAUAGAAAGAAGACUAUAUUGUCUAUGAUGGAUUCUAUUGUGUGUAGAUUAAUGGGAACAUUUCAAAGAAGGUUUGCAAAGGGUUGUGGUUUUGAGCACAACAUAACUCCUAACAUUCGGAAGGUUUUAAACACUAACAUGCAAGAUGGGAGGUUCUGUACAGUGACUUAUGCAUGGAGAGAAGAAUUUCAAGUUAUUGAUAGACACACGACAUUUGUGGUUAACUUGAUGUUAAGGUCGUGCACUUGUAAUUAUUGGUUGGUCUCUGGCUUUCCAUGUAAGCAUGCUUAUUCUUGUAUUGCUUAUAUGCGAGCAGAUGUGGAGAAAUAUUGUGAUAAGCUUACUGCAAAUCAAAAUAUUGUCUCGCCUAUAAUGAAAUAAUCCACCCUAUGUCAGAUAUUGAUGUCAACGAUAGGGGAAGUAUUGGCCAAAUUGACCCCCACCUUUGAAGAGGCUACCUGGAAGGCCUAUGAGGGCUAGAAAGAAUAGUGUUGUUGAAGGGCCAUCAGGGACUAAGGAUGCAAGGAGGUCACACACAUGUAGGUGUAGCACUUGUAAUGAACUUGGAUAUAACUACCGCACUUGUCAAGAACUCCAAUCCAAGGAAAAAAAAGAAACAAAAAGGUAAAAAGUGCAAUUUCAUUUACUUAUAGUGUCAUGUAACAUUGUCUCCUAACUUGCAUUGUCCUGAUUAUGCAUUAGGAAACUCAAAAAACAAGUUCAACACAUGACUCUAAUAUUAACGUGCAAGCUGCAACCUCAACCAAGGUAUAAAAAGCGAACUUAAUGAACUUGGAUGCAAAUGUGUUUAGAAAUUUUUUACUAAAAACCUACCAUUUUUUCCGUAGACAAUUCUUAAUCAACAAGGUAAACUAACUCAAGAUGUUGCAAGUGAGCAUUGUAACAAAGAAUGAAGGCCAUAGAAGGACAUAUGGAAAUGCAUUAAAUGACAUGUCAUAUGCACAUGACACCCUUAUUUAACAGCCAACUAACGGCAGUGGUAGUUUGUGUAACGUGCAUAUAUAAAGGAGGGGAGGUUUGUGUAGGUACAUAAAAGUGAAUGGUGGUUCGUGUAAUUUUAUUAAAACUCAAGGGAGGUUUAUGUAAUUUACUCUUAAUUUAUUGAUCAAGUAUUAAAUUAUAGUUGUGAUGAUAAGUUAUAUAUACUAAUUUUUUUAUUUAUAAAUUUACCUCAAACAUAAUAAAACUUGAGAUGUAUGUUUACAUUUAGAGAUGUAUAGUUACUAAUACCGAACCUGUCAUCAAAUCGGUCAGGGUACUAGUACAAUGGUAUAUUGGUUUAAUCGGUGGUUCAGUAAUUAACUAUAUGCCGGUUAAACUGGACAUACAUGCUUAUAUAUAUAUAACCUUUAAUAUAAAAAUUAAUUAGGUAGAUACUCAAAUUUAUAAUUCAUGUUCAUAGUGUACUAAGAAUUCGCAUAGAUAAACAAUUUUAACAAAUCCAAAGUCUAACCCAUCUUCCAUUGAUGCAAAUAGAAGCCCAAAAGGGGCUAAACUAGCAAAUCAACUAAUUGAACAAAUAGAAGGACCAAGUAAGGAAGAAGCACUUUACAAUAGCAAUUAAAAAUUCUAACAUGUAAGGUAAGAAGAAAGAGAGAAGAAAGAGAGAGAUGAAAUGAACACACACCUUAGUGGGUAAUGGCAUCAACUCUAGAAGGAAUAGGCUGGAACGAAGAUGAUACGUCAGUGGAAGCCUGGAACUGUAGAAGUAGUGAAAAAUGUUGAAGAAGUGUGAAUAGUUGAUGGAGAAGAAUCGAAUAAGGGUAGAAGAAUUGUAAACAAUGUAGCCUAGAAAUUUUGAAAAUUAGGCUUACCUAAAAAAACGUAGUUUAGGGGUGUUUUUUUUAAAACAAAAUAUGUAUAAACUGGCUGAUUUAGUCAAAUUUUAAUCGGUUCACCAAUUUUGACUAAAUCCGAUCGAUUUUUAUUGGUUUUGAUACUUGGCCAGAAUAACAACCACGUCGUACUAAUUAAAGAUAUAAUUUUGUUCAAUUUUAAGAUUUGUGGAUGAUGGUUGUUAAAGCCUAAGUUAUAUUUUAGAAGAAUGUUUAUUGCCUAAAUGUUGGGGUGUAAUCAUUUUCAGGCUGAAAUAGGCCAAUGGAAAGUCAUAUUACUAUAUAAUAUGAUAUGGGCAAGUCUUAUUUUCCAUGUUUUUCAAAGUUAUCAUGGAGAAUAUUAUAAAUGUAUAAAUACUAUUGUAUAUAAUAUACUGACAAUGCUUUUUUUACUUGGACUAUUCUUGAAAAAUAAACAUCAUCUCUUAUACUUCUUAUUCUAAUUUAUAAAUGUAUAAAAUAUAAAGAUAUUUUGAUUUCUUCCAUCACAUAUUUCAUAAAACAAUUCAUAUGAAGAUAAUUAUAUUUUAAAUUCUAUUGCCUAAUAUUUUUUUACCAUUGUAAUCUAGUGUUAAUAUUUUAUAACUUGUCAAAUUUAUUUUAUAAAUGCAUAAAAAUAUUUCAAUUAAAAAAAUCAAAUAAAAUUAAGUAAAAACAUUGGAUUAUAAUAUGGGAUAUUGACUAUGAUACUUCUAAACAAGAAACUAAAAAAAGCUCAAGGGCUUACAAUCUGAGUUGUUGUCUUGGAUUCAUUUGGGGAAUUAUAAUAAUUUAGUUAAGAAGUGUGUGAAACUCUUAUUCUUUUAAGUGAGAAGUAAAUUAAUAUCAAUAAAGUCAAUAAGUAUAUUUUAAUAUAUAUAUAUAUAUAAUAUAAUUAUAUUAGUUAAAUUACAUAAGAUCAUAUAGAUUGAUGAAGGGCACUGCAUGUAAAACUUUCAAGGUAGAUUUUUUAUUAAUAAUAGUACAUAGGUAAAACUCUAGUUUUAUUAUUAUCCCGUGGCUCACUAUAAGCUCUUACAUGAUAGUAGAUAGCAACUUAGUAAAGAGUGCUCUAAAUGGAAAAGAUGAGAUCCCUUCUUCCACGCCUUCCCUCCUUCUCCCUUUGUUGUUGUUGCUGAGGCAAAGCAUUUGCAAAGUAAGAUUAUUGUUGGUUCUUGAUUAAUCUCUCAACGUCUUCAGCAGAACCAGGGAAUGUAAGCUCAUUCACUUCUCUAUCUAACUAACUGCCUUAUCACAUUGUCUUUAGAACCUUACAAUUUUCAAUAAUUUCAAAACAUAACAAUAUGAGUUAGUAACGACAAAACCAAAGUCAUAAAGCAAAUAUUAUUUUAUACAAUUAGGAAUUUGUGCCAAAAGUUGGCUUUGUUGCCACAUUAGCUACGUCCAAAGAUAUAGUUGGUGAUUUGGCGAUCAAUUUUAUAACCGUGUAUCUACCUUUUAAACUACCUGUUAAGGUUAAAGUGAAAUAUAUUUAAUUACAAAGUUUGAAGUUGAAUAAUGUUUAUGGUACCUACAAGGAAAUUCCUCUGGUUUUCAUCAGCAUUGAUGCCAAAUCCAAUGAAGCGAAGAUUUGAGAAAGCGUUGAUGGAAAUUGGAUGACCUCUCAGAAUUAUGAAAAUGUCACCUUCUGAUAAUCUAGCAUUGUACCUUCUCACUUCUUGCUCAUCUUGUUGUCGUUGUUGAUCUCUUAUACCCACUAGUUAUUAAUUUCCUUCUCUUCAUUACUAUUAGUAUUAUUGUUUAGGACGCAACACUAGUGAAUAAGUACAAGGAACUGUGUGUAUAGUUAAUAUACCUCGUUAAUUUCUAUGAAGUUGAGAGAGAUAUCCAAAUCCUAAGCUUGAGGGUUUCUGUCUAGGGUGAUCUCGUAGAAGUUGCCAAACUUGUUUGAAUAAAUGGGUUCAUUGCUUCUCAAGUUGAAGGGGACAAAUUCAGAUGGUUUGCCAUUUCCUAAUAAUGAUUGAGCAUGUUUUCUCAAUUCUUGGAUUUGUUCCUUUGACACUCUCACUAUCACUCCCUCUUCUUGAUGACUCUUCUCUUGUCUAUGGCUUUGCUCCUCAUCUUCGUGCUCAUCCUUGUUUCCUAAAAGAAUCCUUUGUAUCUCUUUAUAACGGCUCUAUAUUUGAAAUCCAAACAAACAAAUAUGUCAUCAUUAGUACAUAUACUCAAUAAAUAAUUGUUCAACCAAUGUAGAUUAGAUGUUAUACAUUGAAGGUGGCCUCUAAAGUGUUCUUGUUGAAGCCGCUGAAGUAAGACAGUUGGUCUUUAGUACUUGAUGGAUAGAAAUCCUAUAAAUAUACAAAUAUAAAGAGAAAGGAGGAAGAAAUUCAAAUUACAUGGUGUUAAAUACGCAAUGGGUGCAUAGAAAGUUAGAUCAUAUAAAAAUAAAAGAUAAUAUGAUAGGAGAAAGAAUAUUACAUAGAUGUUGCCAGGAUUGUUGAUGGGUAAUGCGAGCUUGACUACUCUAAGGUUCUGGUUGUGAUUCGGGUUAAGGAUAUAAGAAGUUAUUCCAUUUGGGAGUAUGAGAGCAUCGCCAUACUCAAGGUUAUAUGCUUGUCUUUUAUCAGGGUUGACUAUCGUGAUUGUGGCUCUACCUGCAAUCCCAAAAUAAUGAAUGUAACAAAUCAUUUAUUCUCAUUAAUUAAUUGGUAGAUAUGAAUACUAAUAGUAGUAAGUAAGGUUUUAAAUUUAGGUUAGUAACCUCAAUUUAAAUCCGUGAUAAUAGUUACCAUUGAGUACAAUGAGGAUGUAGUCAACAUCAGAGUGUUUAGGGAGAAUGAGAGUGUUAGGUUUUGAUUAGAACUCCACAAUGCGGUAGUUCUGGAGAUUCUCAAGUUUAUUGGUUCUCUGGUCA
rnacentral:lncRNA from 1 species